CAGGGAGUGGUAUAAGAUGAGCUUUAAAGUCCCUUCCAACCCAAACCAUUCUGGAAUUCUAUAAAGGCCGGCUCUGAAGUGUUGAUAUUUAAUGCCUGAAGCUGCAGAAAUUUGCAUAUUUUAGAAAACAUUUAGAAGCUGUCAAAGACUUGGUGUCUCUUCCAUUUUCUCCGUGUGCUAUGUUAGGUAGUUACACUUAUGUGGGCAGAAAUCCUGUCGUGGAUGAGGUUAUGCUGGCAGGAAUUAGUCAUGUUAGAGUGACAAAGGAACCUCUCUGCCGAGGCAGCCGUGCCACCCAGUGGAAAUGCAGCACACCCUGUUGCAUAUCCAGAAAACCUUUUUCUGUGUUUGAAAGAUGAUCUUGGAGACAGGAACUAAAUCUGGCACAUCAAGUGUUGGAAAAAUGUCAUACAACUCAAAAAAAAAAAAAAAAAUAGGAAGGCAGUUGAUGCUUAGUUUUGGGUAAGGAAGAAAAAGUGCUUUGGACAGCUCUUCUAAAGAGGGUCUGUAAGGACUGAUGGUGGAUAAAAGCCAGGAAAGGCAAAAGCAUGGGAAAAAUUGCUACAACAUCCAUAGUUUCAGUGAGAUGGAUGCAAUCCAAGAGGGUUUAGAGCUGAAAAAACCAGCGUGGAGCUGGUUUGUUGUGGAAGCUGUUUAGUAGGACGGAUUUAGCACGGCACACGUAGCACCACGCUUCCAGAAACAGGCGUUUCACAGACCUCUCUGAGAGUCACCAGUUGGUUGUGAACGCUGUUGGAAGAACUCUCCUGCCAGAUCCCUGUUGGAAUUGUGCUUCCCAGCCUUCCUCUCUUCCCAGUGCAGCGUGAGCCCAGCAGCCUCAAUCAUCUCACCUACCUGCUUGUAAUUUUGGGAGCAGCUCAUGGAUAUUCAGGAGGCCUUGACCGGUGGCCUGAAGGUUUUGCAGGGUAUAAUUUCUGGGCAGGUGCAGUCAAGUCCUUCCUGCCUCUCAUGGCUCUUCAGGAUAAAGGUUUCGUGUUUCUGGCUGUUUAUGUGCUCCGAGGUGGCUGAGAGGUGGUGCCCUGACCAGCUGAGCUGGAGGUGGCAGGCUCUGGGCUUCUGGAAAGCCAGAGAUGUUUCCAGGGGCGUUGGCCUUCAGAAAACAAAGGGAUCUUAUCUCAUGGCACGCUGGAUGCAAGCAGGACUUCACUUUGAAUGCUGCCAGCUCUGUUUUUCUGCUCCCUGCCAAAUGACUUUAACUCCUGAACCCUCCUUCCAUUUACUCUUUUUGCAUCCCAGCUGCAGGGAAGAUAAUUUGGAGUAGAGUUUACAUGUGGCAGAAUGAAUGUCUGUUACAUUAAUGGGUUUCUCUCUGCUGAUAACAGUGCUUGUGCACCAGGAAAGCUUCAAGAGAUAAUUGGUUAAUUCAGGAGUCCAUUUGUUAAUUCUGAUGACUCUAAAAAUCCCAUCAAGAUCCCA